rnacentral:rRNA from 1 species
GAUGAACGCUGGCGGCGUGCCUAAUACAUGCAAGUCGAGCGAACAGAUAAGGAGCUUGCUCCUUUGACGUUAGCGGCGGACAGGUGAGUAACACGUGGGUACCCUACCUAUAAGACUGGAAUAACUCCGGGAAACCGGGGAUAAUGCCGGAUAACAUUUAGAACCGCAGGGUUCUAAAGUGAAAGAUGGUUUUGCUAUCACUAAUAGAUGGACCCGCGCCGUAUUAGCUAGUUGGUAAGGUAACGGCUUACCAAGGCAACGAUACGUAGCCGACCUGAGAGGGUGAUCGGCCACACUGGAACUGAGACACGGUCCAGACUCCUACGGGAGGCAGCAGUAGGGAAUCUUCCGCAAUGGGCGAAAGCCUGACGGAGCAACGCCGCGUGAGUGAUGAAGGUCUUCGGAUCGUAAAACUCUGUUAUUAGGGAAGAACAAAUGUGUAAGUAACUGUGCACGUCUUGACGGUACCUAAUCAGAAAGCCACGGCUAACUACGUG